ACUCCAAACAAUUUCGUUGAUAACGGUAGAUCCCCAUAAGGAAUUUUUAAUUUAGUGUUUCUGUGGUUUAUACGAAAAAAUAAGACUAUUCAGUUGGAUAAAUUGUGGAAGGAACGUGCCUUUUGAGUGAUUUCUUUUUGUUUUUGCCCAGAACCUUUUGUUGUUGAUAAAAUAAUGGCUUUGAAACAUGUUCUUAAACUUUCGAGCAUCAAUGCUUUUAUAGAUGACAACAAAAUCAUAAAAAGAGGUGAAAAUGCCUUAGAAUCCAGCCACGUCAAGAAGAUGGACUUUGACUCUAAUUUGCAAAUCAUCACAGGGUAUGUAUUUGCAAGUAUGAAAAACAAGAGCUACAAGGUAUCUAUAGCUUUGGAAAAAAACGGUGAUAUUAAGGAAGCAACUUGCGCUUGUCCAAUAGGCAUAAAGUGCCAUCACAUCGCGGCGUUAGCCCUUUUUGGGCAUUACAACAUAUCGAUAACAGAUAAAGCAUGUGCGUGGAAUGCACCACCUAAACCGAAAGAUGGGGGCCGGUGAAAUCGGCAGAAGAGCUUUAUCCACCAAAGCCCUAUACAGCACUUGAAGGCGAGGUGCCAAAUGCGUCUAUCAACAGAUUGAAGCAAAGGCUUCGCAGCUUUGGAAAUACAGUUGGUUUUACGUGGAUAUUGAAUGAGGAGUCACAAAAUCCGUUGGAAAAUAAAUUUGUGGUAAUUGAAGAUAUAAUUCAUUCCAAGGACUUUUUGGAGGCCGUAGAUAAAGUGUCUGUGUUUAAAAAAAAAUGUGCUGUUGAUGAUCAGUCAAUAAAAGACAUUGUGGCCACCACUACUGGUCAGGUUUUAAAUGAAAAAUGGUAUCUGGUCAGAAAAUUUCGUUUGACUGCUAGCAACUUUGGUGCUAUUAUUGCAGCAUGUCGGAGAAACAGAUUCCCAGUGAGUUUGUUCAAGAUGCUCUUGGGUGAAUACAAUUUGGAUGGUAUCAAAGCAAUCCAGUGGGGUAGAACCCAUGAAAAAGAUGCUCUAAACCAUUUAAAGGAGUAUUAUAAUUUAAUUGUUCAACCAACUGGAGUAUGGCUUUCAAAUUCAGGGUUUCUUGGUGCCAGCCCUGAUGGAUUAAUUGAUGAAGAAGAAGCUCUUGUGGAAGUAAAAUGCCCAUACUCUUUUAGAAAUGAUCAGUUGUCCGAAAAAUUGAGGAAUAAUACUAAAUCUAUAAUUUUCUUUGACAAUGAGCGUAAUUUGGUAUUAAAUAUAAGCCACGAAUAUUAUCACCAAAUUCAAGGUGCUUUACAUAUUUUAAAAAAGAAAAAAUGUUACUUAUGUAUUUAUACUUUGAAACAAACAAUUGUGACAAUUGUAGAGAUUGACGAUUCAUGGAAAGAAAACCUUUUACUCUUGGAACAUUUUUAUAUAGAACAAUACUUACCAAAGUUGUUAGAAAAUUAGUAACUUGUGACAUGUUGUUAUAAUUUUAUUUGCAUUGUAUGAACUAUAUGUGUAAUUUUUUUUUGUAGAUGUAAACAAACUAAAACAAUGUUCGUGACUUAAUACUUUAUUUUCUUAGAACAUUG